UGGGGAAUAUUGCACAAUGGGGGAAACCCUGAUGCAGCAACGCCGCGUGAAGGAUGAAGGUUUUCGGAUCGUAAACUUCUAUCAACAGGGACGAAACAAAUGACGGUACCUGAAUAAGAAGCCCCGGCUAACUACGUGCCAGCAGCCGCGGUAAUACGUAGGGGGCAAGCGUUAUCCGGAAUUACUGGGUGUAAAGGGAGCGUAGGCGGCACGUCAAGCCAGAUGUGAAAGCCCGGGGCUUAACCCCGUGGAUUGCAUUUGGAACUGGCGAGCUAGAGUACAGGAGAGGAAAGCGGAAUUCCUAGUGUAGCGGUGAAAUGCGUAGAUAUUAGGAAGAACACCAGUGGCGAAGGCGGCUUUCUGGACUGAAACUGACGCUGAGGCUCGAAAGCGUGGGGAGCAAAACAGGAUUAGAUACC
rnacentral:rRNA from 1 species